rnacentral:rRNA from 1 species
UACGAAGGACCCGAGCGUUAUCCGGAUUUAUUGGGUUUAAAGGGUGCGUAGGCGGAUUAGUAAGUCAGUGGUGAAAGCCCGUCGCUUAACGGCGGAACUGCCAUUGAUACUGCUAGUCUUGAGUAUGGUUGAGGUGGGCGGAAUGUGUCAUGUAGCGGUGAAAUGCUUAGAUAUGACACAGAACACCAAUUGCGAAGGCAGCUCGCUAAGCCAUAACUGACGCUGAGGCACGAAAGCGUGGGGAGCAAACAGG